CCGUUAUAACCGGCGAUUUCCGAAUGGGGAAACCCAGUGUGUUUCGACACACUAUCAUUAACUGAAUCCAUAGGUUAAUGAGGCGAACCGGGGGAACUGAAACAUCUAAGUACCCCGAGGAAAAGAAAUCAACCGAGAUUCCCCCAGUAGCGGCGAGCGAACGGGGAGGAGCCCAGAGCCUGAAUCAGUGUGUGUGUUAGUGGAAGCGUCUGGAAAGGCGUGCGAUACAGGGUGACAGCCCCGUACACAAAAAUGCACAUAUUGUGAGCUCGAUGAGUAGGGCGGGACACGUGGUAUCCUGUCUGAAUAUGGGGGGACCAUCCUCCAAGGCUAAAUACUCCUGACUGACCGAUAGUGAACCAGUACCGUGAGGGAAAGGCGAAAAGAACCCCGGCGAGGGGAGUGAAAAAGAACCUGAAACCGUGUACGUACAAGCAGUGGGAGCCUCUUAAUGGGGUGACUGCGUACCUUUUGUAUAAUGGGUCAGCGACUUAUAUUCUGUAGCAAGGUUAACCGAAUAGGGGAGCCGAAGGGAAACCGAGUCUUAACUGGGCGUUAAGUUGCAGGGUAUAGACCCGAAACCCGGUGAUCUAGCCAUGGGCAGGUUGAAGGUUGGGUAACACUAACUGGAGGACCGAACCGACUAAUGUUGAAAAAUUAGCGGAUGACUUGUGGCUGGGGGUGAAAGGCCAAUCAAACCGGGAGAUAGCUGGUUCUCCCCGAAAGCUAUUUAGGUAGCGCCUCGUGAAUUCAUCUCCGGGGGUAGAGCACUGUUUCGGCAAGGGGGUCAUCCCGACUUACCAACCCGAUGCAAACUGCGAAUACCGGAGAAUGUUAUCACGGGAGACACACGGCGGGUGCUAACGUCCGUCGUGAAGAGGGAAACAACCCAGACCGCCAGCUAAGGUCCCAAAGUCAUGGUUAAGUGGGAAACGAUGUGGGAAGGCCCAGACAGCCAGGAUGUUGGCUUAGAAGCAGCCAUCAUUUAAAGAAAGCGUAAUAGCUCACUGGUCGAGUCGGCCUGCGCGGAAGAUGUAACGGGGCUAAACCAUGCACCGAAGCUGCGGCAGCGACACUAUGUGUUGUUGGGUAGGGGAGCGUUCUGUAAGCCUGUGAAGGUGGCCUGUGAGGGUUGCUGGAGGUAUCAGAAGUGCGAAUGCUGACAUAAGUAACGAUAAAGCGGGUGAAAAGCCCGCUCGCCGGAAGACCAAGGGUUCCUGUCCAACGUUAAUCGGGGCAGGGUGAGUCGACCCCUAAGGCGAGGCCGAAAGGCGUAGUCGAUGGGAAACAGGUUAAUAUUCCUGUACUUGGUGUUACUGCGAAGGGGGGACGGAGAAGGCUAUGUUGGCCGGGCGACGGUUGUCCCGGUUUAAGCGUGUAGGCUGGUUUUCCAGGCAAAUCCGGAAAACCAAGGCUGAGGCGUGAUGACGAAGCACUACGGUGCUGAAGCGACAAAUGCCCUGCUUCCAGGAAAAGCCUCUAAGCAUCAGGUAACAUCAAAUCGUACCCCAAACCGACACAGGUGGUCAGGUAGAGAAUACCAAGGCGCUUGAGAGAACUCGGGUGAAGGAACUAGGCAAAAUGGUGCCGUAACUUCGGGAGAAGGCACGCUGAUAUGUAGGUGAAGCGACUUGCUCGUGGAGCUGAAAUCAGUCGAAGAUACCAGCUGGCUGCAACUGUUUAUUAAAAACACAGCACUGUGCAAACACGAAAGUGGACGUAUACGGUGUGACGCCUGCCCGGUGCCGGAAGGUUAAUUGAUGGGGUUAGCGGUAACGCGAAGCUCUUGAUCGAAGCCCCGGUAAACGGCGGCCGUAACUAUAACGGUCCUAAGGUAGCGAAAUUCCUUGUCGGGUAAGUUCCGACCUGCACGAAUGGCGUAAUGAUGGCCAGGCUGUCUCCACCCGAGACUCAGUGAAAUUGAACUCGCUGUGAAGAUGCAGUGUACCCGCGGCAAGACGGAAAGACCCCGUGAACCUUUACUAUAGCUUGACACUGAACAUUGAGCCUUGAUGUGUAGGAUAGGUGGGAGGCUUUGAAGUGUGGACGCCAGUCUGCAUGGAGCCGACCUUGAAAUACCACCCUUUAAUGUUUGAUGUUCUAACGUUGGCCCGUAAUCCGGGUUGCGGACAGUGUCUGGUGGGUAGUUUGACUGGGGCGGUCUCCUCCUAAAGAGUAACGGAGGAGCACGAAGGUUGGCUAAUCCUGGUCGGACAUCAGGAGGUUAGUGCAAUGGCAUAAGCCAGCUUGACUGCGAGCGUGACGGCGCGAGCAGGUGCGAAAGCAGGUCAUAGUGAUCCGGUGGUUCUGAAUGGAAGGGCCAUCGCUCAACGGAUAAAAGGUACUCCGGGGAUAACAGGCUGAUACCGCCCAAGAGUUCAUAUCGACGGCGGUGUUUGGCACCUCGAUGUCGGCUCAUCACAUCCUGGGGCUGAAGUAGGUCCCAAGGGUAUGGCUGUUCGCCAUUUAAAGUGGUACGCGAGCUGGGUUUAGAACGUCGUGAGACAGUUCGGUCCCUAUCUGCCGUGGGCGCUGGAGAACUGAGGGGGGCUGCUCCUAGUACGAGAGGACCGGAGUGGACGCAUCACUGGUGUUCGGGUUGUCAUGCCAAUGGCACUGCCCGGUAGCUAAAUGCGGAAGAGAUAAGUGCUGAAAGCAUCUAAGCACGAAACUUGCCCCGAGAUGAGUUCUCCCUGAGACUUAGAGUCUCCUGAAGGAACGUUGAAGACGACGACGUUGAUAGGCCGGGUGUGUAAGCGCAGCGAUGCGUUGAGCUAACCGGUACUAAUGAACCGUGAGGCUUAACCUUACAACGCCGAAG
rnacentral:rRNA from 1 species